rnacentral:rRNA from 1 species
GGCCACUGCUAUUGGGAUCCGACUAAGCCAUGCGAGUCGAGAGGGUUCGGCCCUCGGCAGACUGCUCAGUAACACGUGGAUAACCUACCCUCAGGCGGAGAAUAACCUCGGGAAACUGAGAAUAAUACUCCAUAGAUCUAGGAUGCUGGAAUGCGCCUAGAUUGAAAGCUCUGGCGCCUAAGGAUGGGUCUGCGGACUAUCAGGUUGUAGUCAGGGUAAAGACCUGACUAGCCUACGACGGAUAUGGGUUGUGAGAGCAAUAGCCCAGAGACGAUAUCUGAGACACGAUAUCGGGCCCUACGGGGCGCAGCAGGCGCGAAAUCUUCACAAUGUGCGAAAGCACGAUGAGGGGAUCCCAAGUGCUGGCACGUAAGUGUCAGCUGUUUCUUUGUCUAAAAAACAAAGAGAGUAAGAGCUGGGUAAGACGGGUGCCAGCCGUCGCGGUAAUACCUGCAGCUCAAGUGGUGGUCGCUAUUAUUGGGCCUAAAACGUCCGUAGCCGGUUUAGUAAAUGCCUGGGUAAAUCGUGUAGCUUAACUAUACGACUUCCGGGUAGACUGCUAAGCUUGAGAUCGGGAGAGGCUAGAGGUACUCCUGGGGUAGAGGUGAAAUUCUGUAAUCCUAGGGGGACCACCAGUGGCGAAGGCGUCUAGCUAGAACGGGUCUGACGGUGAGGGACGAAGCCCUGGGGCGCAAACCGGAUUAGAUACCCGGGUAGUCCAGGGUGUAAACGCUGCUUGCUUGAUGUUAGUCGGGCUCUGAGCCCGAUUAGUGUCGGAGAGAAGUUGUUAAGCAAGCUGCCUGGGAAGUACGGUCGCAAGGCUGAAACUUAA